UUGAGAUUAUCCCCCAGUCUCUCAGUGGUGACCACCAACCACGGCGCCAUGCAGAAAUUUAACAGGUAGACAGUGGAAUGUGUAGAAUGCACAAACUCUGCUGCUGUUUGGAGCUGGUUCAGGUUGCCCCUACACUGUCAUCCUUCUCUGCAACUGGCCAAACAGGGAAACUAUGGGAUGAUUAUUGUCUCCUCUUCGGUUCCAUUGACUUGACACCCAGUGGUCAAACACGUCCUCCAGAAACAUGAGGGCUGCGAAGGACAUGCAGAACUACAGACGAGGGUAUCCUAAUCUAACAGAUGAAUGCUCAGGAGAAAGAAUGUUUAAUUUAAAAUUCUAUCUCAAUGAAUAUCCCGCCUCCCCUGAUGGUAGGUCACUUGCUAUUUAAUCAGUUUUCAAUGGCUAUAAAAUGUGCGUAAUGAGUAAAAGCAUAUACAAUGCCUUGCAAAAGUAUUCAUACCCCUUGGAUUUUGUAAGCAUUUCACAUUUUAAGUAAGCAUUUCACUGUCAUGUCUACAUCUGUUGUAUUCAGCUCAUGGGACUAAUAACAUUUGAUUUUCUUUGGAGACGAGGGUAUAACCAGCCAUAUGGAAGCAAACUGAAACUCAUAUUAUAUAUUGAGGCCCCUUUUUCCACAAUGAAAUGUGCCGCUAUUCUGAAUUUAAUUGUGUGCCCUCAUAAUUUGCGUGGAUGAUAUUCAGAGACUCAAGUUAUAGGCUUCUGAAGGGCUGAACAUGCUGGGUUGAUGUAUGACCUUUUAGAAUGUUUUGAUAAUAUGUUUGUGCUUUUCUGUUUUUAUUUUACAAUUUGUAUCAUGUUAAAUGUUAGCCACUAUUGGGAGCCACAGUCAGUAAUACCACAUACAUUUUAUUUUUGCAUCAUUCCAUUCUGUUUACGUUUCUUUCCUCUGUCACAUCCUUGUAAAUUGUUCCUGAUGGUCACUAGCAUUAGUGGAUCAUAUUAGGCUAACAGUGUACAAUCAUUUGGGACAUGUAGCCUAUUUGAAUCAUUAUAGAACUCUUACCACACAUAGCAGGUUUAACCAGUAGCCUGGCGCACGGUUCAGGAUGCCUGGACCGUUGUCAUCCUGUUCCAUGAUUGAUCCCUAUAUUCUGAACCUGUACUCUUGAUGUAUUCCAUUGAGUCUGUUGACAAAAUUCAAAUUAAAGUUACACCAUAUUUUAAA